GUGACAAAAUACAUUCUGCAGUUACAUUGACUCUCAGGUCCAGGACGCUCCUACAUACAAGAAUACAAUCCUUCCCCUGUACUGGGGAGAUAAUUGAGUAAAGCACUAGCUUUAGAAAAGUCUAAAAAACUAACAAAUCCACAAAUGGUUCCCCUGGCUCGUAGGUAGCGUUUGUUCCUCUAGUUGGUGGGAACAAACCUACGAAUAGCGCUCUCCUGGCUGGUCGGUGAAAGUAAGCAGGUGUUCGCGAAGUUGACCGGCGUUAGGGAAGUCGAGUGUCCGAUUUUAGUUCCCCUGCCUCUUUU